rnacentral:lncRNA from 1 species
UUUUUCAUGUAAAUAAAAGAGAGGUUCUUGGUCUCUUUUCUCGGUGUGAUUCCAAAAAGAAAACCAGUCCCAUUGAAGGUUGUAUUGUAUCAAACACCAGAGAAGAGAAGGCUAAACCUAAUAUCCAUGCAUGAUGUCUUCGACAGCAAGUAUGUUUUCUUUAUUCGAUUUAAGGUUUACUGGGGUUGUAUAUUACUCUAUGUUGGUUGUAGUUCAAUGGCUUAACUGAUUAUGUCUUGGCUGUGAAGUAUAAGAUAAGUUAACAUGUGGUAUCAGAGCCAACAGUUAAAGCGUUGAACUCGUUUUGUCUUAUGCAAAUUGAUUCUAGUUUCCGCUGUUAUUGCUUAUCAUAUGUUAUGAUAUCUUGCAACUGCAUCGUUAUACUCUGUAACUAUGCAUGAGAAUAAAGUUAGUUGAUCUGAUGAAUAGAUCAACAUUAUGAAUAAUCUUAAAAUUGAUGAAGACUACUUGCUGGUUUGAAAUACUUAUCACUGCUUAAAUACAUCAUCAAAAUGAUAUAUUUAUACUCAUGAAUUUAAGGUUUCAUUUUCUGCAAAAGGGAUGAUUUACAAGCAUUUAACAAGUAGAGUUAAAUUCCAAAGAAUUGAUCUGCUGGGUUUGCUAUGAAUCAAUGUAUAAUCUCUAUAAAAAGGUUGUAGUUUUGUAAAAGUUCAUGCCUAAAGGUGUGCAGUUUACAUAAGUUACUGUAUUUUUUGUUCAAGAUUAUACAAGAAUUGAUAUUCACAUACUUAAUGUAUUAUAUGGACAGUUUCUUGCCCAAAGGUGUGACUGGUUCCACAGAUUAACUGUGAUAAGAUCGUUAAGUUAUUGAUUUUUGUCACAAGUGCAAGUGAAUUAAUCAGUUCGUAACGAAUACACAUUUCAAUAUGUUGAAUCUUAUCAACAUUGAGAAACUGAAUGGCAACAAUUUUAAGACUUGGAAGCAGCAAAUUGAAAUGCACCUGGGAAUGUUGGAAUUUGACAUUGCUUUCAAGCUACCUCAACCAAGUGCACUUGCUGAUAAUAGCACAACAGUUCAAAGGGACCUGUUUGCCCAGUGGGAGAGGGCAAAUCAAAUGUCACUCUUGAUUAUGCAGAAUGCAAUGGAAGAACAUGUGAGAGGAGGCAUUCCCGCAUGUGACUUGGCCAAGGCUUAUAUGGAUAAGGUAGAAGAAAAAUUUAAGAGAUCUGAUAAGGCAGAAACUGGUUCAUACCUCUCAGCAUUUAUCAAUGCCAAGCAUGAUGGCGUUGGUAGUAUUCGGGAGCAUCUUUUCAAACUGGUGAACAUUUCCAACAAGUUAAAUGCACUGGACAUUGGCAUCACUGACCAAUUUCUGGUGCACAUGACACUGCACUCACUUUCAAGUGACUAUGAGCAAAUCAAAGUCAAUUAUAACACUCAAAAAGAGACCUGGAGCAUUAAUGAACUCAUUGCAAUAUGUUGUCAAGAGGAGGAGAGGAUGAAGAGAACUAAGAUUGAGACUGUUAAUGUUGUUCAAGCUGAGAAAGGCAAGGGAAAAACAACCAUUCCUUACAAGAACAGCAACUACAAGGGAUCAAAGCCACAUAAUGCAGGUUCUCACUUUCCCUCAAAGAAAAAUGCAAAACACUCAGUUGUAUUUGCUAAAAAUAAUGCUGCUUCCACGAGCAUUGGUCUCAGACCAAAUGCAAUCCAUCUUAAGAAAUGUUAUUACUGUCAAUCCACUGAACACUUGAGGAAAAAUUGUCCAGGCUUUAAAGGUUGGCUCAUUAAAAAAGGUAUGAAAACCAUUGAUGUUUUUGUCACAGUUGAAUCGAAUAUGAUUUUUAUACCUCAAAAUUCUUGGUAGUUUGACACUGGCUGUUCUACACAUAUAACAAACUCUUUGCAGGGAUUUCAAAGCCUGAAGGAGACAAAUAAGGAAAUCUACAAUGUCUAUGUUGGAAAUGGAAAUAAAGUGACUAUUGAAUAAGUUGGUAAAGUAAAGUUGAGAUUGUCUUCUGGCUAUGUAUUGUUUUAAACAAUGUUCUUUAUGUACCUUCUAUGAGAAGGAAUCUGUUUUCUGUAACACAGUUUGUAAGAGAUGGUUUUUCGUAUGUUGGUAAUGAAACUCAAAUUAUUUUUUAUUUAAAUAACCAGUUUGACAAUCUCCUUGGAUAUGCAUUUCUUAAUGGUGAUCUUUGGCAAAUUGAGUGUACUUACUUUCAUGAUUGUCUUAAUGUUGAUCAUUCUGCAUUUAAAAGGCUGCUCACUAAUGAAACAUCUUCUAUGCUUUGGCAUCGAAGACUUGGGCACAUAUCAAAAGAGAGAAUGAUGAGACUAGUGAAAGAUGGUGCAUUGCCAGAGAUUAAUCCAAAUGAACUUGGGACUUGCAUAGACUGUUUUAAAGGGAAGACAACUAAUUCAACAAACAAAUCGAAAGCUACCAGAAGCAAUGAUCUCUUGGAGAUAAUACACACAGAUGUGUGUGGACCAUUUCCAAGAAAGACUAUAUGUGGCAAUUCCUAUUUUGUACUCUUCAUAGAUGAUUUUUCAAGAUAUACUUACCUGUUUUUUAUUUCAGAGAAGUCACAAGUACUUAAGUGUUUUAAAAUUUUCAAACUUGAGGUUGAAAAGCAACUAAACAAACAAAUUAAGAUUGUGAGAUCCGAUCGUGGAGGAGAAUAUUUUGGUAGAUACACUGAAGUAGGACAACAAAAGGGUCAUUUCGCAUUGUUUUUGCAGCAAGAAGGGAUUGUUGGUCAAUACACUACUCCUGGGACUCUUUCCCAAAAUGGAGUGGCUGAAAGACGGAAUAGAACCUUGAAAGACAUGGUCAGGAGCAUGUUAUCUCAUUCACAGCUACCAGAAUUCCUUUGGGGUGAAGCUAUCAAAAUUGCAAACUACAUACUUAAUCGAGUCCCAACCAAGGCAGUCAAGUCUAUUCCUUUCGAAAUUUGGACAGGUAGGAUACCAAGUUUUAACCAUUUUCACAGUUGGGGUUGCAGAUGUGAGGCAAGAUUAUAUAAUCCUAAUGAAAAGAAACUGGAUUUAAAGACUACCAGUUGCUUUUUUGUUGGAUAUGCUGAGAAAUCGAAAGGUUACAGGUUUUAUUGUCCAGGUUCUUAUACCAGAUUGGUUGAAAACAGCAAUGCUAAGUUCAUUGAAGAUUUUGGAGCACCACAUUCCCAUUCCAGAAAUUCAUAUGUGUUUGAAGAAAGAGAUGAGGAAACUUCAAUUCCUUUACCUACAGUUAAUCAUAUUACCUUGCCAAUUUCAUCUAGUGUAGUUUCAAAUUUAUUUUCUUUGCCACUUACUUCCAAUACUGAAGAUCAAAUGAUUUUGAAUCAACUAGAAGGGAAUUUGCAUGCUACAGAAGUCCUAAAUGAGUUAAAUAAUGUUGCAGAAGUUGAAAAUGCACAGAAUGUAAAUGAGGUGAUACCAAUUGUAAGGAAAUCCACAAGAGUAAGAAAACCAGCAUUGUCAAAUGACUAUGUUGCUUAUCUGCAAGAAGUGGAGUUUGAUGUUGGAGAUGAUGAUGAUCCUAUCACAUAUAAGGAAGCAAUGGAAAGUAAAAAUGCUUCACUUUGGGAUGCUGCAAUGAAAGAUGAACUGGAUUCAAUGGCAAAGAAUGAAGUCUGAUGUCUAGUUGAAGGGUCCAGUGAUAUUAAACCCACUGGCUGCAAGUGGGUGUUCAAAACAAAACGAGAUGCACAAGGACAUGUUGAAAGAUUCAAAGCGAGACUUGUUGCUAAAGGUUUCACACAAAGAGAAGGUGUUGACUACACUGAAACUUUUUCACCAGUGUCUACAAAAGAUUCUUUUAGAGUUAUUAUGGCAUUAACAGCUCAUUAUGAUUUGGAAUUGCAUCAAAUGGAUGUCAAGACUGCUUUUCUCAAUGACAUCUUAUUGGAAGACAUUUAUAUGAAGCAACCACCAGGAUUUAUUGAAAGGGGGAAGGAAAGUAUGGUCUGCAAGCUUACCAAGUCUAUUUAUGGCCUUAAACAAGCUUCUAGACAAUGGUAUAAGAAGUUUGAUCAGGUUGUCAAUUCAUUUGGUUUCUCAGAAAAUAAGAUUGACAAUUGCAUUUAUAUGAAACAAGCCAAAUCAGACUUUAUUUUCAUGGUUCUCUAUGUUGAUGACAUACUUCUUGCUAGCUCAAGUGUACAGUUGUUAAAAGAAACAAAACAAAUGCUGUCUCAAAGCUUUGAUAUGAAAGAUUUAGGUGUGGCUCAUUAUGUUUUGGGAAUUGAAAUCACAAGAGACAGAUUGCAGAAGUCUUUGGGUUUGUCUCAGAAGAAUUAUAUUGAUCGAGUGCUUAAGAGAUUUAACAUGGAGAAUUGUGAUGGUGGUGAUGUUCCUAUAGCUAAAGGUGACAAGCUUUCACAUGCUCAGUGUCCAAUUACAAUCCAUGCCAUUGAACAGAUGAAAGAGAAACCAUAUGCCUCAUUAGUGGGGAGUGUUAUGUAUGCUCAAGUAUGUACCAGACCAGACUUGGCAUUUGCACUCAGUGUAUUGGGAAGGUUUCAAUCAAAUCCUGGCAUUGCUCAUUGGAAUGCAGGAAAGAAAGUACUCGUAUACUUACAAAGAACCUGAGAUCAUGUGCUGGUAUUUCAUCAAGUUAAAGUUUUAGAAGUUGUUGGUUAUAGUGAUGCAGACUUGGGAGGUUGUGUAGAUGACAGAAUGUCAACAAGUGGCUAUGUGUUCACAUUGGCUGGAGAUGCUAUUUCAUGGAGGAGUAAGAAACAAACCAUCAGAGCUGUGUCAACAAUGGAAUCUGAAUAUAUAGGGUGUUUUGAAGCUAUGAGGCAAGUUGGAUGGCUAAAGAAUGUGAUUCAUUAUAUGGGAGUUUUGCACAGUAUAGAGAAACCGAUUAAGAUAUGCUGUGAUAACACUUCUGCAUUGUUCUUUGCCAAGAACAAUAAGCGAUCAGAGGCUUCAAGACUUAUGGAUAUCAAAUACUUGAAGCUUCAAGACAAAAUCAGAGUAUGAGUAUUGGAUAUAGAACAUCUUGGCACAUUCCAUAUGGUUGCAGAUCCUUUAACAAAGGCAUUACAUGUCACUGCCUUUCACAGACACCUACCUAAUAUGGGAUUGCAAUCAUCCAUGGAAAAUAUUUGAAUGUGGGAGUAAGGUAAUUUUCUCACAGUUAUGACUACGUUUUAUGAGUUCUUGUACUAAAGUUGUGCUUAUUAAGACUAUGAACUAAAUUGCAUGACGAUGUGAUCAGUUCGUAAAAGCUCAUUCUAACAAGAACUAUAAUGUUUGUCAAUCUUGCAGAGAUUGAAAUAAAGAAGACAUCUGCAGUGUCUUGAGUACCAAGAAAUGUGGGAGUUAUUAUGGUAUACAAAUAGACUCUCAUUAAAAUUUCCUCAUGUUCCAAACUUUCAUUUGUACGAUCAAUUUGUGGUUAUGGUACACUGAUACUUUAUAUUUGUAUUAAGUUGUCUAUGACUCAGUUGAUAAACAUAUGUAGUUAUUUGGAAAGAUUUAUUGCACUUAUCAUGACUAAGUGAUUGCUCUUUAGCUGUUGAGCAUGAUAUGGAUCACAGUUUUGAAUACACUCAUGUGGGAGAAUGUAAGAUUUUAUAGGGUGAGUGUAAUCAAACCUUAGUGUAUUUAUAUAUAUGCCGACAUCAAGAUAAGAGAUUAUAUGGCCAUAUAGAUAAAUGGAGGGAAAAACAUUAAGUUAUAAUGUUUGAAUUAGAGUUGGUUAACAACUCUAAGUAACUGGCAAUAACCGAAACCCUAAUGGGGGGUAGCAGUUAUUGUUUUUUUUCAUGUAAAUAAAAGAGAGGUUCUUGGUCUCUUUUCUCGGUGUGAUUCCAAAAAGAAAACCAGUCCCAUUGAAGGUUGUAUUAUAUCAAACACCAGAGAAGAGAAGGCUAAACCUAAUAUCCAUGCAUGAUGUCUUCGACAGCAAGUAUGUUUUCUUUAUUCGAUUUAAGGUUUACUGAGGUUGUAUAUUACUUUAUGUUGGUUGUAGUUCAAUGGCUUAACUGAUUAUGUCUUGGCUGUGAAGUAUACGAUAAGUUAACACACAGAGCAACAAUGUAUCAAAACCACCGCCAGAUUCGAUUCUUACUUAGCUGAUAAGUUUGUGAUGUGAUUAGUUAGUUGUAUUAUGCUGAGUUGGCACAUAUUUUUUUUUAGGAAAAUUAAUGAAAGAGUUUGAAAACUUUGAGUUUUAAUGAUAAGGACAAAAUAAAGGGUAAAGUGAAUAGUACCAGGAUUGACUUUUUAGUGUCAAAAUGUGGUUUUUCGUUAAAGUAAACAGUAUCAAGUGCUUUUUGUUAAAGUUCCUUUUUUUUUUUUUUCUCUCUCUCUACAGUUCUCUCCUUCUCUCUAAUGACGCGUUUACUAAUCCGUAAUCAGAUUGAGAGGAAUUGAAUUGAGGAAGAAUUGAAUUGAGGUGGAAUUGAAUUGAGAUGGAAUCAGAAUCAGAUUCCUUUUGAAGUUGUUUACUAAAACUGUCUGGAAUCGGAAUAAGAAUGACAUUGAUCUAUAUAAACUGUUUACUAAUUCACAUGAAUCGGAAUGAAAACUAUUGUGAUUACCAAAAUACCCCUAGUUUAAUUAAUGUAUUUUAUAUGUUAAUUAUUUUUAGUAAAUCUUUUAUUUUUUCAUUUUUUGUUUUAGAAGAGAGAACAAUUAUUAUUAUUUUUUUUUAGUAAAACUUUUAUGCUUUAUUUUUGGAUUUUUUAAUGGGAUUC